rnacentral:sRNA from 1 species
AUGCUCAACCGCAAGACCAGCCACUUUUUGGGAAUGCGGGUGCAGUCGGAGCUUGAACAUCUCUCCGAGCUGCGGCGGGAAGCGGGGAAGGAUCGCAGCUCAGUGCGUGGGUCGGCCGCACGGACGCGAGCGAGUGUGCGGACCCAGUCGACGACGACGACGGCGGCGGCGGCGGCGAAAGCGGAUGAAGACCCCGGAGCCAACUUGUUUCCGCCGCCGCUGCCCCGACCCCGGAUCUGCAUGUGGAAGUACCUGGACAUCCAUUCCAUGCACCAGCUGGAGAAGACCACCAAUGCUGAGGAGAUGAGGGAGUAGGGACUGAGGGGGGCACGGGAAGAGCUCUUGGCAAAGGCUGAGGGGUCAGGUUGGGAAAACAUGAGGAAUGGCUGACUCCAAAGCAUGUGGUGGGUGUAGGGUGAUGAAAGGAGGCCCAGUUGUCACUCACUCCUCUCUCCCUCCCAAGGGUGCUGGCUGAGCUGCUGGAGCUAGGGUGUCCUGAGCAGAGCCUGCGGGAUGCCGUCACCCUGGACCUCUUCUGCCACGCGCUCAUUUUCUGCCGCCAGCAGGGCUUCUCACUGGAGCAGACGUCAGCGGCUUGUGCCCUGCUCCAGGAUCUUCACAAGGCUUGUAUUGCAACCCCCUUGGGCAACGUGGAGGAGUGCUACCGCUACUUCACCAGUGUCCUUUUUUGCCAUGGAGUCAGGCGGCCUCCUUUUAGCAUCGACCUCUUCAAAGAGGAACAGCUGCUGGCCUUGGAAGACUACGUGGUCAACACUUACUUUCGCCACUUCAAGCUCUAUAAAUACGUCUUCACACCCCAGGUGCGGCUGGAUCUGUCUUUGACUUACAUGGGGCUGCAGCCACCCAAACUGUGGCCAGAGAGUGAGACAGGUAAGGGAGAGUGCCAGGGCAGGGCUGGGCUGGGCCAGGCCUGGGGCCACAGUCUCUUCCUGCUUCUGGUUUGCAGAGAAAGAAGAAAGCAAGGAGGUGGAGGAGCAGGCAGUUACCCCGCGGAAAGAGGAACUAGAGACGGUGGCCCCGCCAGAGCCAGAGCCAAGCCACGUCCACAUCCUCCGAGCCUACAUCAAGACCCAAGUGAACAAGGAGCUGGAGCAGCUCCAGCAGCUGGUGGAGGAGCGGCUCAAGGCCAGCGAGGAAAGGCUCAGCAGCAAGUUGACUGCACUAGAGCGGCCCUUCCAGCUACCUCCGGGUAAAGGCAAGAGCAAGACCAAGUGACCCCCAGCA